rnacentral:rRNA from 1 species
GACGUAGGGCGCGAGCGUUGUCCGGAUUUAUUGGGCGUAAAGAGCUCGUAGGCGGCUUGUCGCGUCGACCGUGAAAACUCGCAGCUCAACUGCGAGCCUGCGGUCGAUACGGGCAGGCUAGAGUUCGGUAGGGGAGACUGGAAUUCCUGGUGUAGCGGUGAAAUGCGCAGAUAUCAGGAAGAACACCCGUGGCGAAGGCGGCUCUCUGGGACGGUACUGACGCUGAGACGCGAAAGCGUGGGGAGCAAACAGG